rnacentral:rRNA from 1 species
GACGAACGCUGGCGGCGUGCUUAACACAUGCAAGUCGAACGGAAAGGCCCUGCGUUUGCUGCGUUCACGUUAGGCGAGCGGGGGUGUAACACGCGUGUAACAUCUCCCUGAAAUAGUGGUAUCUCUUGGAGACUCAGGCGAUAAUCGCAUAUAAUCUCUUGCUGCAUGUUGUUGAAUGGUAAGUUUCGGUUGUGGUGGAUGGACUCGAUGCUUAUCAGCUGGUUGGUGGAGUAGUUGCAUACGAAGGCUUUGACGGGUAGCCUGCCUGAGAGGGUGACCGGCCACAAGGGGACUGCGAUACGGCCCAGAAUCCAACGGGAGGCAGUAGGGGGGAAUAUUGCACAAUGGGCGGAAGCCUGAUGUAGAAACGCCGCGUGCGGGAUGACGGCCUUCGGGUUGUAAACCGAUUUCGAAUGUGACGAAGAGUGAGUGACGGUACUGGGUAAAGAAGCACCGGCUAACUACGUG